rnacentral:rRNA from 1 species
CAGUCGCCGCGGGAAUACGUAGGUGGCAAGCGUUGUCCGGAAUUAUUGGGCGUAAAGGGCUCGCAGGCGGUUUCUUAAGUCUGAUGUGAAAGCCCCCGGCUCGACCGGGGAGGGUCAUUGGAAACUGGGAAACUUGAGUGCAGAAGAGGAGAGUGGAAUUCCACGUGUAGCGGUGAAAUGCGUAGAGAUGUGGAGGAACACCAGUGGCGAAGGCGACUCUCUAGUCUGUAACUGACGCUGAGGAGCGAAAGCGUGGGGAGCGAACAGGAUUAGAUACCCCCGUAGUCCCUGUCUCUUAUAC